AGAGAUGUGUGAUGACGCAUAUCAAUAAGCGGAGGAAAAGAAACUAACAAGGAUUCCCUUAGUAACGGCGAGUGAAGCGGGAAGAGCUCAAAUUUGAAAUCUUCAAGGUUCUACCUUGACGAAUUGUAGUUUAAAGAAGUGUUUUCUGUUAGAGAGGUGGUAAAAGUUCUUUGGAAUAGGACAUCAUAGAGGGUGAGAAUCCCGUAUUUGAUCACUUUCUACUAACGUUGUGAUACACUUUCAAAGAGUCGGAUUGUUUGGGAAUGCAGUCCAAAAUGGGUGGUAAAUUUCAUCUAAAGCUAAAUAUUGGCGAGAGACCGAUAGCGAACAAGUACCGUGAGGGAAAGAUGAAAAGAACUUUGAAAAGAGAGUUAAACAGUACGUGAAAUUGUCAAAAGGGAAGCGUUUGACACCAGUGUUGUUUUUCCGAAAAUCAAUUAUGAAUGGCUUGAUUUUAAGUUUCAUGACCUUAAAAGCUUGUUGCUUAUUUUUCUUGUCCUUCGUAAUGCACUUUUCGGUUAACAAGUCAACAUCAAUUUCUUUUGUUGUAAAAGGUUAAGAGGAAGGUGGCUUUACUUUCGGGUAAAGUGUUUAUAGCCUCUUAGCUCUGCAAUCGGAGAGAUUGAGGUCUGCAGCGUAGAUCCUUCGGGGUUAGAUACGUUUGUGCUAAGUUAUAGCUUUUCAUAGACAACUUGUUGACUAUGCUUAGUCUUGUGACUUACUCGCUGACGCUAUUUUACCUACGCUUAGGAUGUUGAUAGUCACAGCGUGUAC
rnacentral:rRNA from 1 species